UGGAUCAGUCGGUGGCUGAGAGGUUGAAGAAGAUCUAUUGUGGUUAAUGCCCGGUUCUGCAUGAUGCAUUUUUCAAAUAUCAGACUAAACCAAAGCUUACAACACAUGGUGAUUUGUAUCAAGAAGGAAAAGAGUUUGAGGUCAAACUGAGGGAAAUGAAACCAGGAAUGAUGUCAUAUGAACUUAAAGAAGCUCUUGGCAUGCCAGAUGGUGCUCCUCCUCCUUGGCUUAUUAAUACGCAGAGAUACGGUACUCCACCAUCUUACCCACGUCUGAAAAUACCAGGACUUAAUGCUCCUAUUCCUCCUGGAGCCAGCUUUGAUUAUCAUCCUGGAGGUUGGGGAAAACCUCCUGUUGAUGAAGUAAGUUCAGCGAUACCUUUUUAUUAACAUUUUACAGGUAAUACCUGAGGUUCUGGAAGAGAAGGAAGAGAGAGUUGCUCCUGGGACUCUGCUUGGAACAACUCACACUUAUCUGCUUACUGAUAAAGACAAAGACAAAGCAGCUGCUGCUAAAAGGGUA